UACGAAGGGGGCUAGCGUUGUUCGGAAUUACUGGGCGUAAAGCGCGUGUAGGCGGGUCUUUAAGUCAGGGGUGAAAUGCCAGGGCUCAACCUUGGAACUGCCUUUGAUACUGGAGAUCUUGAGUCCGGGAGAGGUGAGUGGAAUUGCGAGUGUAGAGGUGAAAUUCGUAGAUAUUCGCAAGAACACCAGUGGCGAAGGCGGCUCACUGGCCCGGAACUGACGCUGAGGUGCGAAAGCGUGGGGAGCAAACAGG
rnacentral:rRNA from 1 species